GAUCCCUUACUUAUUGUUCCGUAUGACAAGUUAAUUGGCCAAAAAGUUUCUAUGGAUUCUUCUGUCUUCAUACUCCCUGUGACAACAGCAGUUCUGGGAUUAUAGACCACCGCUAUACGGAUUCUCAAGAUUCAAACUCAGGACCUAAUGAUGUCAUGGUGUGAAAGACAAUGUAUUCUGCACUGAAGGCUGGCUUUCUCAGCUAAAGCAAGUGUUGUCCCUAUGGUCAAGUAAUGAAUCAAUAGCAUACCAUUCUAUGCAGUUGAUUUCCAAUGGUAAGAAGAAUGACACGAGUUUGAAUCACUCCUACUACAAUUUAACCAGCUAUUAAGAUCAAGAUCUGGAAAUUACAUCCACUUCUACAUAGUUAGUCAGCCAGUGCUCAAUCAUGCUAUUCUUUGUAUGAACUAGAAAAGAUGUAAUCCAAAGAAAUAGUUCUUGGAUCACA